UGAACCAGCCAAGUAGCGUGCAGGAAGACGGCCCUAUGGGUUGUAAACUGCUUUUAUAAGGGAAUAAAGUUAGUCUCGUGAGACUUUUUGCAUGUACCUUAUGAAUAAGGACCGGCUAAUUCCGUGCCAGCAGCCGCGGUAAUAA
rnacentral:rRNA from 1 species